GUGGCCACAUCAACCCGGCCGUUACUUUUGGGCUUUUCCUCGCCCGCAAGGUAUCUCUGGUGAGAGCAGUGCUGUACAUGGUGGCGCAGAGCCUCGGUGCCAUUUGCGGCGUCGGGCUGGUUAAGGGAUUUCAGAGGGCUUUCUAUGUCCGGUACGGUGGUGGCGCCAACGAGCUCAGUGCUGGAUACUCUAAGGGCACCGGGCUCGCUGCGGAGAUUAUCGGCACUUUUGUUCUCGUAUACACUGUCUUCUCCGCCACCGAC
rnacentral:misc_RNA from 1 species